rnacentral:rRNA from 1 species
GGAUGCGAUCAUACCAGCACUAAAGCACCGGAUUCCAUCAGAACUCCGAAGUUAAGCUUGCUUGGGCGAGAGUAGUACUAGGAUGGGUGACCUCCUGGGAAGUCCUCGUGUUGCAUUCC